rnacentral:siRNA from 1 species
AGGAAUCCGAAGUAAUUGUUGUGU